UACGUAGGCAGCGAGCGUUGUUCGGAAUUACUGGGCGUAAAGAGUGUGUAGGCGGUGCUCUAAGUUCGGUGUGAAAUCUCCCGGCUCAACUGGGAGGGUGCGCCGGAAACUGGAGUGCUCGAGCGUGGGAGAGGAAAGCGGAAUUCCUGGUGUAGCGGGGAAAUGCGUAGAUAUCAGGAGGAACACCGGCGGUGUAGACGGCUUUCUGGACCAUUGCUGACGCUGAGACACGAAAGCGUGGGGAGCAAACAGG
rnacentral:rRNA from 1 species